AUUGAACGCUGGCGGCAUGCCUUACACAUGCAAGUCGAACGGUAACGCGGGGCAACCUGGCGACGAGUGGCGAACGGGUGAGUAAUGCAUCGGAACGUGCCCGGUAGUGGGGGAUAACUGCUCGAAAGAGCAGCUAAUACCGCAUACGACCUGAGGGUGAAAGGGGGGGAUCGCAAGACCUCUCGCUAUCGGAGCGGCCGAUGUCGGAUUAGCUAGUUGGUGGGGUAAAGGCCCACCAAGGCAACGAUCCGUAGCUGGUCUGAGAGGACGACCAGCCCCACUGGGACUGAGACACGGCCCAGACUCCUACGGGAGGCAGCAGUGGGGAAUUUUGGACAAUGGACGCAAGUCUGAUCCAGCCAUGCCGCGUGCGGGAAGAAGGCCUUCGGGUUGUAAACCGCUUUUGUCAGGGAAGAAAUCUUCUGGACUAAUACUCUGGGAGGAUGACGGUACCUGAAGAAUAAGCACCGGCUAACUACGUGCCAGCAGCCGCCGUAACAU
rnacentral:rRNA from 1 species